CUCUUGAGAGCGGCGGACGGGUGAGUAAUGCCUAGGAAUCUGCCUGGUAGUGGGGGAUAACGUUCGGAAACGGACGCUAAUACCGCAUACGUCCUACGGGAGAAAGCAGGGGACCUUCGGGCCUUGCGCUAUCAGAUGAGCCUAGGUCGGAUUAGCUAGUUGGUGAGGUAAUGGCUCACCAAGGCGACGAUCCGUAACUGGUCUGAGAGGAUGAUCAGUCACACUGGAACUGAGACACGGUCCAGACUCCUACGGGAGGCAGCAGUGGGGAAUAUUGGACAAUGGGCGAAAGCCUGAUCCAGCCAUGCCGCGUGUGUGAAGAAGGUCUUCGGAUUGUAAAGCACUUUAAGUUGGGAGGAAGGGUUGUAGAUUAAUACUCUGCAAUUUUGACGUUACCGACAGAAUAAGCACCGGCUAACUCUGUGCCAGCAGCCGCGGUAAUACAGAGGGUGCAAGCGUUAAUCGGAAUUACUGGGCGUAAAGCGCGCGUAGGUGGUUUGUUAAGUUGGAUGUGAAAUCCCCGGGCUCAACCUGGGAACUGCAUUCAAAACUGACUGACUAGAGUAUGGUAGAGGGUGGUGGAAUUUCCUGUGUAGCGGUGAAAUGCGUAGAUAUAGGAAGGAACACCAGUGGCGAAGGCGACCACCUGGACUAAUACUGACACUGAGGUGCGAAAGCGUGGGGAGCAAACAGGAUUAGAUACCCUGGUAGUCCACGCCGUAAACGAUGUCAACUAGCCGUUGGAAGCCUUGAGCUUUUAGUGGCGCAGCUAACGCAUUAAGUUGACCGCCUGGGGAGUACGGCCGCAAGGUUUAAAACUCAAUGAAUUGACGGGGGCCCGCACAAGCGGUGGAGCAUGUGGU
rnacentral:rRNA from 1 species